rnacentral:rRNA from 1 species
UCAGGAUGAACGCUAGCUACAGGCUUAACACAUGCAAGUCGAGGGGUAACAUGAUAGAAGCUUGCUUUAUUGAUGACGACCGGCGCACGGGUGAGUAACGCGUAUCCAACCUUCCCUAUACUAGAGGAUAGCCCGGCGAAAGUCGGAUUAAUACUCUAUGUUGUUCGAUGCGGACAUCUAAAUUGAACCAAAGGUUUACCGGUAUAGGAUGGGGGAUGCGUCUGAUUAGGUUGUUGGCGGGGUAACGGCCCACCAAGCCAGCGAUCAGUAGGGGUUCAGAGAGGAAGGUCCCCCACAUUGGUACUGAGACACGGACCAAACUCCUACGGGAGGCAGCAGUGAGGAAUAUUGGUCAAUGGGCGAGAGCCUGAACCAGCCAAGUAGCCGUGCAGGAUGACGGCCCUAUGGGUUGUAAACUGCUUUUGCCGGGGAAUAAAGUGCAGUACGUGUACUGUUUUGUAUGUACCCGGAGAAUAAGGACCGGCUAAUUCCGUGCCAGCCGCAGC